rnacentral:tRNA from 1 species
GCGUCAGUAGUUUAGUAGUAAUAUCCAUCGUUGCCAUCGAUGGGCCCCGCGUUCGAUUCGCGGCUGAUGCA